GAUGAACGCUGGCGGCGUGCCUUAAGCAUGCAAGUCGAACGGAAAUUAGUCGCAAGAUUGAAAUCAGUGGCGGACGGGUGAGUAUAAGCAAGGAACGUACCCAAAAGUAUCGCAUAGCUCGUCGAAAGACGGGGUAAUACGGUAUGUGGAUGCAAAUCUAAAGGGCGUAACAACCCGCUUUUGGAGCGGCCUUGUUCCUAUCAGCUAGUUGGUGGGAUAAAAGCUUACCAAGCCGACGAUCUGUAGCUGGUCUGAGAGGACGAUCAGCCACACUGGGACUGAGACACGGCCCAGACUCCUACGGGAGGCAGCAGUGGGGAAUUUUGGACAAUGGGCGCAAGCCUGAUCCAGCAAUGCCGCGUGCAGGAUGAAGGCCUUCGGGUUGUAAACUGCUUUUGUACGGAACGAAAAGCCCUGGGUUAAUACCCUGGGGUCAUGACGGUACCGUAAGAAUAAGCACCGGCUAACUACGUGCCAGCCGCCGCCGUAA
rnacentral:rRNA from 1 species